AUAAUAAUAAGGUUUAGUGUGUUAGUGUUGGACCCGUGACCUCCAGCCCCGGGUGUUGUCUGCUGCUCAACACUACCAUCAACACAGGACAAUAUGUCGGCUGUAGGCAGAAAAACUUUAUCUCAGCUGUAUCGCCAAGGAUGGGCAGAAAUCCCAGAGGUGAUGGCUUCAUCUUACCUUCUUUUGGUUGGUGUUGGGUUUAUGGGUGCUGCUUCAUUGAUGUAUGUUAAAAAGAAUGGAGAUAACAAACGUUAUCGUUUUGAGUAUACAGUUUACCGUCCUGAUGAUCCACGCAUUAAAACAAUUAGGGAGUGAUCCAGAAGGCUACUCUUCUGUGAUUGAUGCCUAGAAAGGAAAUGUUAAUAAGUGUAAAUUAUCUUUUUUGAGAAUUAAUUAUUGUAUAUAGAAAACAA